UACGUAGGGUGCAAGCGUUGUCCGGAAUUAUUGGGCGUAAAGAGCUCGUAGGCGGUUUGUCACGUCUGCUGUGAAAAUCCAAGGCUCAACCUUGGACUUGCAGUGGGUACGGGCAGGCUAGAGUGCGGUAGGGGAGAUGGGAAUUCCUGGUGUAGCGGUGGAAUGCGCAGAUAUCAGGAGGAACACCAAUGGCGAAGGCACAUCUCUGGGCCGUAACUGACGCUGAGGAGCGAAAGCGUGGGGAGCAAACAGG
rnacentral:rRNA from 1 species